GGCCCCAUAGCCAAGCGGUUAUGGUGUCGGCGUCCGAAAUUCUUUUGGUAGCCGGAGGUCGCGGGUUCGAAUCCUGCUGGGGUCG